rfam:Ailuropoda melanoleuca scaffold2693_30, whole genome shotgun sequence.
CCAAAGGCUCUUUUCAGAGCCACUAAGUUGUCGGCAAUAGAGCUG